rnacentral:rRNA from 1 species
ACUUAAAUUGAAGAGUUUGAUCAUGGCUCAGAUUGAACGCUGGCGGCAGGCCUAACACAUGCAAGUCGAGCGGUAGCACAGAGAGCUUGCUCUCGGGUGACGAGCGGCGGACGGGUGAGUAAUGUCUGGGAAACUGCCUGAUGGAGGGGGAUAACUACUGGAAACGGUAGCUAAUACCGCAUAACGUCGCAAGACCAAAGUGGGGGACCUUCGGGCCUCAUGCCAUCAGAUGUGCCCAGAUGGGAUUAGCUAGUAGGUGGGGUAACGGCUCACCUAGGCGACGAUCCCUAGCUGGUCUGAGAGGAUGACCAGCCACACUGGAACUGAGACACGGUCCAGACUCCUACGGGAGGCAGCAGUGGGGAAUAUUGCACAAUGGGCGCAAGCCUGAUGCAGCCAUGCCGCGUGUGUGAAGAAGGCCUUCGGGUUGUAAAGCACUUUCAGCGGGGAGGAAGGCGGUGAGGUUAAUAACCUCAUCGAUUGACGUUACCCGCAGAAGAAGCACCGGCUAACUCCGUGCCAGCAGCCGCGGUAAUACGGAGGGUGCAAGCGUUAAUCGGAAUUACUGGGCGUAAAGCGCACGCAGGCGGUCUGUCAAGUCGGAUGUGAAAUCCCCGGGCUCAACCUGGGAACUGCAUUCGAAACUGGCAGGCUAGAGUCUUGUAGAGGGGGGUAGAAUUCCAGGUGUAGCGGUGAAAUGCGUAGAGAUCUGGAGGAAUACCGGUGGCGAAGGCGGCCCCCUGGACAAAGACUGACGCUCAGGUGCGAAAGCGUGGGGAGCAAACAGGAUUAGAUACCCUGGUAGUCCACGCCGUAAACGAUGUCGAUUUGGAGGUUGUGCCCUUGAGGCGUGGCUUCCGGAGCUAACGCGUUAAAUCGACCGCCUGGGGAGUACGGCCGCAAGGUUAAAACUCAAAUGAAUUGACGGGGGCCCGCACAAGCGGUGGAGCAUGUGGUUUAAUUCGAUGCAACGCGAAGAACCUUACCUGGUCUUGACAUCCACAGAACUUUCCAGAGAUGGAUUGGUGCCUUCGGGAACUGUGAGACAGGUGCUGCAUGGCUGUCGUCAGCUCGUGUUGUGAAAUGUUGGGUUAAGUCCCGCAACGAGCGCAACCCUUAUCCUUUGUUGCCAGCGGUUCGGCCGGGAACUCAAAGGAGACUGCCAGUGAUAAACUGGAGGAAGGUGGGGAUGACGUCAAGUCAUCAUGGCCCUUACGACCAGGGCUACACACGUGCUACAAUGGCAUAUACAAAGAGAAGCGACCUCGCGAGAGCAAGCGGACCUCAUAAAGUAUGUCGUAGUCCGGAUUGGAGUCUGCAACUCGACUCCAUGAAGUCGGAAUCGCUAGUAAUCGUAGAUCAGAAUGCUACGGUGAAUACGUUCCCGGGCCUUGUACACACCGCCCGUCACACCAUGGGAGUGGGUUGCAAAAGAAGUAGGUAGCUUAACCUCGGGAGGGCGCUUACCACUUUGUGAUUCAUGACUGGGGUGAAGUCGUAACAAGGUAACCGUAGGGGAACCUGCGGUUGGAUCACCUCCUUACCUUAAAGAA